AUACAAAUACCAAAAGAAGAAGAUUCGUUAAUAGGAAAAAGGCUUCAACAAAGAAAGAUUGACUAGUUAAGGUCAUGAUUUUUUUUCUGUUCUCUGUCUAUCUUUCUUUCUCUUGUCUCUCUCUUUUAUUUCUAAAUUCAAAUACGUGCAAU
rnacentral:ribozyme from 14 species